AGAACGAACGCUGGCGGCAGGCUUAACACAUGCAAGUCGAGCGCCCCGCAAGGGGAGCGGCAGACGGGUGAGUAACGCGUGGGAAUCUACCCAGCUCUUCGGAAUAACUCAGGGAAACUUGAGCUAAUACCGAAUACGUCCGAUAGGAGAAAGAUUUAUCGGAGUUGGAUGAGCCCGCGUUGGAUUAGCUAGUUGGUGGGGUAAUGGCCUACCAAGGCGACGAUCCAUAGCUGGUCUGAGAGGAUGAUCAGCCACACUGGGACUGAGACACGGCCCAGACUCCUACGGGAGGCAGCAGUGGGAAUAUUGGACAAUGGGCGAAAGCCUGAUCCAGCCAUGCCGCGUGAGUGAUGAAGGCCCUAGGGUUGUAAAGCUCUUUCGCAGGUGAAGAUAAUGACGGUAACCUGAGAAGAAGCCCCGGCUAACUUCGCGCCAGCAGCCGC
rnacentral:rRNA from 1 species